rnacentral:lncRNA from 1 species
CCUGGGUCCCUCCUCCCUCGGCCUCACCACACUCCUCUGGGGACCCUGUGCUUGGACUCCACCCUUUCCUGUCCAGACCACUGUGAAGGCCUUUAGUCACCUCCUAGAGAAGCAAGAUUUUCAGCCCUGGCUUUCUACCCCCACACCCUACAGCAGGCACAUCGGAAGGCUCACGGUCAGAGGAUGCUGGGACAAACGCCACGAGAGGUUCCUUUUUGUCUGGCUCACCCAGAAGAGAGGCUCCUCUCCUCCCUUCCCUGCAGCACAACGGCCUGGCUGGCACCCAAAGGGCAGCCGGCAUGGGCUGACCUCAGAGGAGCAAGGCGUGUUUGCAGCUCUGCCGCUCACAUCCACAGUGGCCAUGACAAC